rnacentral:lncRNA from 1 species
ACUGACCCCAGUUCUGGCCCCCGCUAGAGCAAGACUUCAGCGUUCCAUGUCUGCUGUGCUGUGGAACCCAGAGUGCUCUUGCCUGGAUGGCUGAGAAUCCCUUGGACCCUGGAAGCACCUACUCCAUGAUGGCCCGCAGGAGGACCAAACUGGAGACAGUCCUGGCUCUGAGGAAACAGGAAGGAAGGAGGGUGAAAGGAACGUCCACCUGCACACAAAGGAAAGAUGAAAAAGAGUCACCUACCAUGGGACCUGGCAAAGUACUUCAGAACUUUUAUUCCUUCCAGAAGCAGUGUAUCACAAUAGAUUGAAUCAAGAAGUGACAUUAAGGCCAGCGCGGUGGCUCACGCCUGUAAUCCCACCACUUUGGGAGGCCGAGGCGGGCGGAUCACGAGAUCAGGAGAUCAAGACCAUCCUGGCUAACAUGGUGAAACCCCAUGUCUACUAAAAAUACAAAAAAUUAGCCGGGCAUGGUGGCGGGCGCCUGUAGUCCCAGCUACUCGGGAGGCUGAGGCAGGAGAAUGGCGUGAACCUGGGAGGUGAAGCCUGCAGUGAGCCAAGAUCAUGCCACCGUACUCCCGUACUCCAGCCU